UACAGAGGUCUCAAGCGUUGUUCGGAUUCAUUGGGCGUAAAGGGUGUGUAGGUGGCGCCGUAAGUCGGGUGUGAAAUUUCGGAGCUUAACUCCGUAACUGCAUUCGAUACUGCCGUGCUUGAGGACUGGAGAGGAGACUGGAAUUUACGGUGUAGCAGUGAAAUGCGUAGAUAUCGUAAGGAAGACCAGUGGCGAAGGCGGGUCUCUGGACAGUUCCUGACGCUGAGACACGAAGGCCAGGGGAGCAAACGGG
rnacentral:rRNA from 1 species